rnacentral:rRNA from 1 species
GACGAAGGGGGCUAGCGUUGUUCGGAAUUACUGGGCGUAAAGCGAGUGUAGGCGGUUGUCAUAGUCAGGGGUGAAAGCCUUGAGCUUAACUCAAGAAAUGCACUUGAUACUGGGCGACUAGAGGACCGGAGAGGAUAGUGGAAUUCCCAGUGUAGUGGUGAAAUACGUAGAGAUUGGGAAGAACACCAGUGGCGAAGGCGGCUAUCUGGACGGUUACUGACGCUAAGACUCGAAAGCGUGGGGAGCAAACAGG